CGAACGGGUGGAGUAACAACGUGGGGCAAACCCUGCCCAAAAGAGGGGGAGUAACACUUGGAAACAGGUGCUAAUACCGCAUAACCAUAGUUACCGCAUGGUAGCUAUGUAAAAGGUGGCUAUGCUACCGCUUUUGGAUGGGCCCGCGGCGCAUUAGCUAGUUGGUGGGGUAAAGGCUUACCAAGGCAAUGAUGCGUAGCCGAACUGAGAGGUUGAUCGGCCACAUUGGGACUGAGACACGGCCCAAACUCCUACGGAAGGCAGCAG
rnacentral:rRNA from 1 species